rnacentral:rRNA from 1 species
GAUGAACGCCAGCGGCAGGCCUAAUACAUGCAAGUCGGACGGGAUUCAGGAGCUUGCUUCUGAUGAGAGUGGCGCACGGGUGCGUAACACGUAUGUAACCUACCUUUAUCAGGGGGAUAGCCUCUCGAAAGAGAGAUUAAGCCCGCAUAAAAUCACAGCACAGCAUUGUGUAAUGAUCAAAUAUUUAUAGGAUAAAGAUGGGCAUGCGGAACAUUAGCUAGAUGGCGGGGUAACGGCCCACCAUGGCGACGAUGUUUAGGGGAUCUGAGAGGAUGGCCCCCCACACUGGUACUGAGACACGGACCAGACUCCUACGGGAGGCAGCAGUAAGGAAUAUUGGUCAAUGGGCGGAAGCCUGAACCAGCCAUGCCGCGUGCAGGAAGACGGCCCUACGGGUUGUAAACUGCUUUUAUACGGUAAUAAACCCAGAUACGUGUAUCUGGCUGAAUGUACUGUAAGAAUAAGGAUCGGCUAACUCCGUG